GAUCAUGGCUCAGGAUGAACGCUAGCUACAGGCUUAACACAUGCAAGUCGAGGGGCAUCAGGAAGAAAGCUUGCUUUCUUUGCUGGCGACCGGCGCACGGGUGAGUAACACGUAUCCAACCUGCCCUUUACUCGGGGAUAGCCGUUCGAAGAAAGAUUAAUACCCGAUGGCAUAAUGAUUCCGCAUGGUUUCAUUAUUAAAGGAUCCGGUAAGGAUGGGGAUGCGUUCCAUUAGGUUGUUGGUG
rnacentral:rRNA from 1 species